rnacentral:rRNA from 1 species
AUUGAACGCUGGCGGCAUGCCUUACACAUGCAAGUCGAACGGCAGCACGGGUGCUUGCACCUGGUGGCGAGUGGCGAACGGGUGAGUAAUACAUCGGAACAUGUCCUGUAGUGGGGGAUAGCCCGGCGAAAGCCGGAUUAAUACCGCAUACGAUCUACGGAUGAAAGCGGGGGACCUUCGGGCCUCGCGCUAUAGGGUUGGCCGAUGGCUGAUUAGCUAGUUGGUGGGGUAAAGGCCUACCAAGGCGACGAUCAGUAGCUGGUCUGAGAGGACGACCAGCCACACUGGGACUGAGACACGGCCCAGACUCCUACGGGAGGCAGCAGUGGGGAAUUUUGGACAAUGGGCGAAAGCCUGACCCAGCAAUGCCGCGUGUGUGAAGAAGGCCUUCGGGUUGUAAAGCACUUUUGUCCGGAUAGAAAUCCUUGGCCCUAAUACGGUCGGGGGAUGACGGUACCGGAAGAAUAAGCACCGGCUAACUACGUG